CCUACGGGGGGCAGCAGUGAGGAAUAUUGGUCAAUGGACGAGAGUCUGAACCAGCCAAGUAGCGUGAAGGAUGACUGCCCUAUGGGUUGUAAACUUCUUUUAUAAGGGAAUAAAAUGUUCCACGUGUGGGUUUUUGUAUGUACUUUAUGAAUAAGGAUCUGCUAACUCCGUGCCAGCAGCCGCGGUAAUACGGAGGAUCCGAGCGUUAUCCGGAUUUAUUGGGUUUAAAGGGAGCGUAGGUGGAUUGUUAAGUCAGUUGUGAAAGUUUGCGGCUCAACCGUAAAAUUGCAGUUGAGACUGGCAGUCUUGAGUACAGUAGAGGUGGGCGGAAUUCGUGGUGUAGCGGUGAAAUGCUUAGAUAUCACGAAGAACUCCGAUUGCGAAGGCAGCUCACUGAACUGCAACUGACACUGAGGCUCGAAAGUGUGGGUAUCAAACAGGAUUAGAUACCCCUGUAGUC
rnacentral:rRNA from 1 species